UAAGUUUGUGUUGACGGGAAGACUUUAAAUAUUUUGGUUGACUAUUAUGGUCUUCGAACAAAAUGACCUUCUGGACUGCAUUAUUCAUUGGAUUGUCAUUCACUUUCUAUUUACUCACUCAUUCAGAUCACUCGCUUCAAUUCCACCAAUCCACUUUCUAACAUGGCUGCCGAAAAAAUUGCUGGUGCUCUAGUGUCCACCUUUGUUGAGAGGACUAUUGACAAUUUGGCUUCUCGUUUUGUAGACAUAUUUCGUGGAAAUAAAAGCAACAAGAAGCAGCUAAGCAACCUGAAGGUCAAGCUCCUUGCCGUUGAUGCUGUGGCUGAUGAUGCAGAACAGAAACAGUUCACAGAUCCACAUGUGAGAGAUUGGCUUCUCGCGGCCAAAGAUGUCAUGCUUGAUACAGAGGAUCUCUUGGAGGAAAUAGAUUAUGCACUCUCCAAAAGCCAAGUGGAAGCUGAAUCUCAUAGUUCUACUAAAAAGGUGCGGAAUUCCCUCAAAUCUUCUUUCGUCAGUUUCUUUAAAAAUGAAAUUGAAUCAACGAUGGAAGAACUCAUUAAGAACCUAGAAUAUCUAGCAACACAAAGCCAUGUUCUAGGUUUGAAAAAGGCUGAUGAUGUUGGAGUCAGAUCAGGAUCCGGCAGUAAAUUACGAUCAACAUAUUUGCCAAACGAAAGUGUUAUCUAUGGCAGAGAUGAUGACAAAGAAUUUGUCUUUAACUGGCUCACAUCUGACAUUCCCAACAACCUAUCUAUACUUUCUAUAGUGGGAAUGGGAGGGUUGGGUAAGACCACUCUUGCCCAACAUGUAUUCAAUGAUCCAAGGGUGAAUGAGGCUAAAUUUGAUGUCAAAGCCUGGGUUUGUCUUUCAUAUGAAUUUGAUGUUUUCAAAGUAUCAAGAAAAAUUCUUGAGGAUGUUACUAGAUCACCUGAUCAUAGUUCAGAUACAGAUAUGGUUCACAGAAGAUUGAGAGAAAAAUUGACGGGCAAAAAAUUUCUUGUUGUUUUGGAUAAUGUAUGGAACGUAACCCUAUCUAAUUGGGAAGAGGUGCAAAAGCCCCUUCUUUUCGGAGCCCAAGGAAGUAGGAUUAUUGUGACUACCCGUAGUCUGCAAGUUGCUUCUGACAUGCUGUCAGAAAUACGCUUUCUAAUGCUAUUGCCGGAAGAUGAUAGCUGGGAGUUGUUUGCCAAAUAUGCAUUUCGUGAUGGUAUUCAACUAAAUCCAGAGUGCAGAGAGAUUGGCAAGAAGAUUGUUAAAAAAUGUACAGGAUUACCUCUUGCUUUGAAAACAAUAGGAAGUUUAUUAUACAACAAAUCAUCUGUUCCAGAAUGGGAAACUGUGCUUCUAAACAAGAUAUGGGAGCUUCCAAAUUGUGAUAUUGUUCCUGCUUUAGCAUUGAGCUAUAUCCACCUGCCUUCCCAUUUGAAGACCUGCUUUGCUUAUUUUGCCUUGUUCCGCAACAAUUAUGAGUUUAAGAAGGAAGAGUUGACUCAGUUGUGGAUGACUGAAAACUUCCAACACCAUAGUAAGACUCCGGAUGAAACUUGCCAACAAUACUUCAAUGAUCUACUAUCAAGGUCCUUUUUUCAACGAUUAGGUGAUGCGGAAGAACUGUUUGUCAUGCAUGAUCUUCUAAAUGAUUUGGCAAAAUAUGUUGCCGGAGACCUAUAUUUCAGGUGCGAAGAUAGUCAAACAAAUAAUAUACAAAAAGUAACUCGACAUAUUUUAUUUGAACUUCCUAACUUUGGACGCUUUCGUGAAUUUGGAACUUUAUGCAAAACGGAAAGCUUGCGUACAUUUCUACCAACACCAGAUAGGAAACUGGAUUACUUUCAUUGGUUUUGCACUAUGUCGAUACAUGAAUUAUUCUCCGAGUUUAAGUUCUUACGUAUUUUGUCGCUCUCUCAUUGUUCUAACCUUUUAGAGUUGCCUGAUUCUGUGGACAAUCUUAAACUUCUUCGUUCCUUAGACCUCUCUCAUACUGCAAUAAGAAAACUACCUGAAAAAAUAUGUUCACUAUUCCACUUGCAAAUCCUGGAGUUAAACUAUUGUACAUAUUUGGAAGAGUUGCCCAUAAAUUUGCAUUUACUUACUAAUUUGUGUCGCCUUGAAUUUAGGUUCACUAAAAUUAGAAAAGUGCCACCAGGUUUAGAAAAAUUAAAGAAUCUUAUAGUUAUGAUGAAUGUCUUUUAUAUUGACCAUAACAUGGAGUCGGGUAUUCAACUGCUAGGAAAGCUCAAUAACCUUUCUGAAUACUUAGAAAUUUGGGGACUGGAGUGCAUUAAGAAUCCUGAGGAUGCAUUAGAAGUCAAUUUGAAGAAUAAAACACACCUUGUGAGGCUGACAUUGGCAUUGGAGAGGACUGGGAACUCUAUUGAUUCAAAAAAUGCAGAAGUAAUUGAGAAUUUGCAACCUUCCAAAAACCUAAAGGAGUUGUCAAUCUUAAACUAUGGUGGAAGUAAAUUUCCAAAAUGGUUACUUCAAGAUUCGUUACCAAACCUGGUAUCCUUAGUGUUGCGCAAUUGUGAAUCUUGCCAACAUUUACCUCCGCUUGGUCUUUUGCCAUUUCUGAAGAAGCUGUAUAUUUCAGGGUUUGAUGUGAUAGUGAGCAUUGAUGCUGAUUUUCAUGGAAACAACUCUUCUUCAUUUCAAUCCCUUAAAAAGUUGGAGUUCUCCGAUAUGAAGCAAUGGGAAAAAUGGGUAUGCCAAGCUGUGACAGGUGCUUUUCCAAAUCUUCAAAUUCUUUCUAUAAAGAAAUGUCCGAAACUGAAAGGACAUCUUCCAGAACUACUUGUUCCUUUGAAAACACUAAAAAUUACACGUUGCCAACAACUUGAAGCUUUCCCUCCCAGGACUCUAGAAUUAGACCUUCGUCACUGUGGAAAGUUGCAAUUGGAUUGGGCUACAAUGGAAUGGCCUAGAAUGGACGGGCACCACAUGACAGCAUUGUUCUCUGAAAGUGAUGGGUCCCACACUCUUGAUGAUUUAGAAAUUGUAGAGGUAAUCAGUGAUGACUCUAUCCCUCUAAUGACCUUUCCACUAGACUCCUUCCCAACAGUUAAGAGACUUGUUCUCUCUUGGUUACGUAAUCUAGAGAUGAUUUCCCAGGAUCAAGCUCAUCAUGAUCAUCUAUUGGAUCUGACAAUCACAAGAUGUCCUAAAUUUGAAUCGUUACCUGGAAACAUGCAUAUGAUGUCUCUUACAUCGCUAUGGAUAGAAGACUGUCCAAGAUUUAAGUCUAUCCCUUACGGAGGUUUGCCAUCAAAUUUGGAGAAUCUGACAAUCAAAGGUUGCCCUAAGUUUGAAUCAUUACCUGACUCUGUUGACAAUCUCAAGCUUCUUCGUUCCUUGGACCUCUCUGAUACUGCAAUAAGAAAACUACCUGAAAAAAUAUGUUCAUUAUCGCGCUUGCAAAUACUGGAGUUGAACUAUUGUACAUAUUUGGAGGAGUUACCCAUAAAUUUGUAUUUACUCACUAAUUUGUGUCGUCUUGAAUUUAGGUUCACUAAAGUGAGAAAAGUGCCACCAGGUUUGGAAAAAUUAAAAAAUCUUAUAGUAAUAAUGAGUAACUUUGAUCUUGACCUGGAGUCGGAUAUUCAACGGUUAGGAAAGCUCAACAAUCUUUAUGAAGACUUAUCAAUUGGGGAACUGCAGAGUCCUUCGGAUGCAUUUGAAGCUGAUUUGAAGAAUAAAACACACAUUGAGAGUGUGACAUUGGGAUGGGAGAGGACCGAAAACUCUAUUGAUUCAAAAACAGCAGAGGACGUACUUGAGAAUCUGCAACCUUCAAAAACCUUAAAGGAGUUGUCAAUCUUUAACCAUGGUGAGAAUAAAUUUCCAAACUGGUUACUACAAACUUCAAUUUGGAAUAUAGUGUCAUUAGAGUUGGACAAAUGUAAAUCUUGCCAAAGUUUACCUCCGCUUGGUCUUUUGCCAUUCCUCAAGAAGCUGGUGAUUUCAGGGUUUGAUCAGAUAGUGAGUAUUGAUGCUGAUUUUCAUGGGAAGAACUCUUCUUCAUUUAAAUCUCUUGAAACAUUGUAUUUCUCCGAUAUGAGACAAUGGGAAAAAUGGGAAUGUAAAGUUGUGACAGGUGCUUAUCCACGUCUACAACAUCUUUCUAUAAGCUUUUGUCCCAAACUAAAAGGACAAUUGCCAGAGCAACUUGUUCCUUUGGAAACACUACACAUUACAUACUGCGAACAACUUGAGGCUUUCGCUCCAAGGGCUCUGGAUUUAGAACUAUGUGACUGUGGAAAGCUACAAUUGGAUUCGGCCAUGAAAAGGCUCGUAAUGGGUGGGCACAACACGGAAGCAUCAUUGCUGGAAAUGGUUGGAUCUAACACUCUUGAGCACUUGGACAUUUCUUCAUCCCUGGAGUCCAUGAGUGAUGACUGUGUCUCUGUAAGGACCUUUUCUCUAGAUUUCUUUCCAAUACUCAGGACCCUUAAUCUUAGAGGGUUUGGUAAUCUACAGAAGGUUUUACAGGAUCACGCUCAUAAUCAUCUCCAGGAUCUCACAAUCAAAAAAUGUCCUAAAUUUGAAUCAUUAUCUGGAAUCAUGCAUAUGUUGUCUCUCAAAUCUCUAUGGAUAGAAGAUUGUCCGAGACUUGUGUCGUUUCCUGAAGGAGGUUUGCCAUCAAAUCUAAAUGACAUGAGACUGAACAAUUGUUCUAGACUUGUUUGCUCACUGAAAGGAGCUUUCGGAGACCGUUCUUCUUUGGAAAGCUUGUGGAUUGAAGGAAUGGAUGCAGAAUGUUUUCCUGGUGAAGGCUUGCUUCCACUCUCCCUUACUUCUUUAACAAUAUGUGAUUGUCCAAAUCUAGAAAAGCUGGAUUAUAAAGGUCUUUAUCAACUCUCAUCUCUCAGAAGACUGACUCUUGUUAGCUGCCCUAACCUCCAAUGCUUACCAGAGGAAGGUCUUCCAAGAUCAAUUUCAUAUCUUUGUAUAGGCGAUUGUCCUUUGCUUGAACAGCGUUGCCAGACAGAAGGAGGGGAAGAUUGGGAAAAGAUUGCUCACAUUCAAAAUCUGAAUAUAUUGUAAUGUUGUUUGUUUCGAAUAGUGAUGCAUUUGGUCGGCUACAAUUUUAAUAUAUUGUCCGUUCAAUGCGGUGGCUUAGUUGUGGUUUGUCGGCGUCGUCUUGUCGUUGUGUGAUCGUUGUUGCUUUGGUCUCACGUGUUAGUUGUUUUCCGAGUUGUUAACGGUUUCUUUUGUGGUGGAGGGGUGGAUUGAUCUUCCCCUUUGUCGCAGGUGUAGGGAUCUUUGACGCUCUCGGCAGUUUGAUAAAAUACAAUACUACACCUAUUUUGGAUUUUAUUAAAGUAAAAUGCAAAUUCUAAAAAUAGAAAAUGUAAUAUAAAUUUUAGAAUAUUGUAGAAAAAUUUAAGAUAUGAAAGAGAACAAAAUUAACAAGAUAAAAAUUUAGAACAUUUAACAUAAGUUGUAAUUAACAUUUUUUAGAAUAAUUUAUGAAUCUAUAAAUAUUUAUGUAUUUUAUUAUUUGAUAUAAGAUAACAUUUAUCAUAAUUAAGACAAUUACAAAAUGCACUCUUUCCAACUACUAUUUUCACAUUUUACUAUCUUUAUAUUUUCUCUACUUCAUCAACUAUUCCUUUCACAACCUUAAAAUACUAAUUAUGGUACUAGAGUUACGUUCAAUCAUCUACUGGGCGUAGAUAAAAAUUUUCAAUUAGGUCAAAGAAACUAUAACUUCAUUCUAUGCAAUUUCAAAAAUAUUUUCUCAACCCAUGACUAUUACUAAUCAAACAUCAUCAACUCUAAUGCCAAUUUUCACAAGAGAAAAUUAUGAUUUUUGGAGUAUCAAAAUGAAGACAUUUUUUCGUUCUCAAGAUUUAUAGGACAUCAUAGAAGAAGGAUCCACUAUUCUAGAAGAUGCCUCCACUUACUACAGCUCAGAAGAAGAAGUUGAAGGAAAAUAAGCAUAAGGAUUGAAAGGCUUUAUUUUCUCUUCAACAAACAGUUGACGACACAAUUUUUUCAAGAAUAAUAGGUGCCACAAGUGCAAAGCAAACUUGAAACAUAAUACAAUAGGAGUUUCAAGGAAGUGAUGAGGUACCCAAUGUUAAACUUUAUUCUUUAAGACGAGAGUUUAAAUUAUUAAGAAUGAAAUAAUCUAAGACCAUUAAAGAUUACUAUUCUAGAAUAAAAGAAACUCAGAUGAGAGCCUAUGGGGAAAAUAUUUUUGACAAAAAAAUCAUAAAAUUUUAAUUUAUAUUCCCCAAAAAUAUGAUGCAAUCUCAACUACGAUUGAACAAACAAAAAAAUUGGUUAUAUUGUUAGUAACAUAACUAAUAGGCUCUCUUAAAACUUAUAAACAAAGAUUGAAAAGACGUGAAGAAGACUUAGUCAAAAAUAUAUUUCAAUCAAAACUAAAAUUACGAUCCCACAAUAAGGAAUAUGAAGGAAAUACAAGUAGAAGAGAAAUUUCUAUAAAUAAAGAAAAUUCUUGAAGUUUCUUUUUGACUCGUUAAGGAAAAUAUCCUCCAUGUGGCAUCUAUAAAAAGACAAGUCACUUGGGAAAAGAUUGUUUUCGUCAUGGAAAACCUCAAUGUCAAUAUUGUAAGCAAUUUGGUCACAUAGAGAAGUAUUGUCAUAAUAAAAAUAAGUAUAAAACAAACUUUACGAAAGAACAUAACAAGGAGAAACUCUUAUUUUAUGCUAAUCAAGAAUCUCCUAGUGGAGAAGGAAGUUGGUACGUGGAUAGUGAAUGCAGCAAUCACAUGGUGAAAGAUUAAAGCAUCUUCAAAGACAUUGAUAAAUUUGUCAAUGUCAAAGUUUGGGUGUGGGUACACCUUAGGAAGGAAAUGUUUUCCUUCCAAAAGGAAAUCUAAGCUCCUACCUAGAGGAGAUGGACCUUUUCAAGUUCUUAAGAAAAUUAAUGAUAAUGCUUACAUUGUUGAUCUACCUAAUGAUUAUGGAGUAAGUUCUAGUUUCAAAAUUAAUGAUUUGUCUCCAUUUGAUGUAGGUACUAAUUUAGGGACAAAUUCGCUUCAACGAGGGAAUGAUAGAGGAUUGUCCCUUGAUCGUAUAGAAGAUGAACUUGAGGAAGAACCUUUGCAAUUCAAAGAACCUAUGACAAUGUCAAGGAGCAAACAAUUAGAAGAAUAAAUCUCCUUUAGACUCAUGAUGCUCCAUGACGAUUGAAAUUCAAGGGACAUCAAGAUCAUGGCUUGGAGCAUAAUUAUAUAAUAAUUUAUGCAAUUAAAAAUAUUUGCAAUUUUGUUUUAAUUAAUAAAUAAUUUGUUUUUGUUUAUUUAUUUUUCUCAAUUUUUGAAUUAUUUUUGGGUUCAAUGUCUUUGGGCUUUCUUUUGUGGUUUCUUAGGUGUCUUAAACAUUUGUGCCUAUAUAUAGGAGUAUAAAAUACAUACGUAGAUAGUUUUGAGUCAUAAUAUAUGCAUUUGUAUUUUUUAGAGAGGAUUAUCUGGUUAUUGGAUUAAAACUCUGAUUCUUAUCAAAGAUUAACAUCUUUGUGGUAAAUCUUCACUUGACUUAUCAAUCUGCUAGAUUGUCGUGUCUCGAUCUCUAUCUUGUUCUACAUUCUUCUUUAAUCUAUUUUUGUUGUAUUCCUUAAAAAUUCAAAUUCAGAAAAGAUUGUACUCUUUCCUAAACAUGAUUGUAUCAUUUAUUAGUUUAGUUUUAAUAAUUUUUGUUUUGAUAACUCUAGUUUUAGUCUUAGUUUUUAUUAGUUCAUACUUUUAAUCUUAAAACUAUGUUGGAAACAUUCAAUACAAAAAUUUAUGCUAGAUGUUUUUUGUUUUCUAGGUUAGGAAAAUUGUAAAACAAAUAAAUUAUUUAAAAGAAUGCUACAAUUACGUUUAUUAAUACACUAAAAGACAUCAUUUGACGUCGGUUUAUAUCAUAAAGAUGGUUCUCAAUGGUGACUUAUUUCCGAUCAGUGCCAAAGCUUCGCAAAAGUUUGCGCUCAAUGCUUUUAGACGUCAAUUUCUCUUCUAUUCGUUGUGAAUGGAUUUUGGUUUCACCCAGGAUCGAUGUUCUUUAACGUCGGCUGUCCAUUCUGAAGUCAAACAAGAAUGUUGGAGUUUAGACUAACAUCAAAUAUAAAAAAUAACAUGUCAAAACUCGUUUUUAUAUUAGUGAUUGAAUUUUCAAAGUAUGCUUUUGCAUAGUACCUAUUUUAAAAAUAAAUAAACAAAUAAAUAAAUGACACUUUCACACACAUAAAUUUUUUAUAUUUAUUUUACAUUAUUAUUUUUUUAAAUACAAAUAUGACUAUUUUAUCUUGUUAGGUGUGUUAAAAUGAAUGUAAACUGUUUUCGUCCUACCAUACUCUAUUAAAUAUGAUGGAAAAAAAUAUUCAUUGAUGGAAAACAGCUGUGUAAAUUUGGGUUGACGGGAAGACUUUAAAUUUAUAGGUUGACUAUUAUGAUCUUCGAACAAAAUGACCUUCUGCACUGCAUUAUUCAAUGGAUUGUGAUUCACUCUCAAUUUACUCAUUUCCGUUCAUCUGCAUAUUCCCUUUUUCUGUAUCCAUCUUCCAUUAAAUAGUUUUUCAUCUAGAUUAUCUCAGCACUAACUCAUUCCCAUUCAUCCACCCCAUUUUCUACCAUGGCUGUUCAAUUGAUUAUCGAUGCUGCUCUGUCCAAAUUCUUUGAGAAGACUUUUGACAAUUUAUUUUCUCGUUUUGGAGACAUAUUUCGUGGAGACAAAAGUAAAAAGAAACAGAUAAGCAACUUGAAGGGGAAGCUCCUGGCCAUUGAUGUUGUGGCUGAUGAUGCAGAGCAGAAACAGUUCACAAAUCCACGUGUGAGAGAUUGGCUUCUCGCAGCCAAAGAUGCCGUGUAUGAUGCAGAGGAUCUCCUGGAGGAAAUAGAUCAUGAUGCUAAAGAGGUUUGGAAUCCCCUCACUUCUUUUAUCAGUUUCUUUGAAAAUAAAUUUAAGACAAGGAUGGAACAACUCAUUGAAGACCUAGAAGAUCUUGCUUCACAAAGCCGUGUUCUAGGUUUGAAAAAGGCUGAUGAUGUUGGGGUCUCAGGAUGGGUCAGUAAAUUACGAUCAACAUAUUUGCCAAAUGAAAGUGUUAUAUAUGGCAGAGAUGAUGACAAAAAAUUUGUGUUUGAGUGGCUCACAUCUAACACUCACAACAACCUGUCUAUACUUUCUAUUGUGGGAAUGCCUGGGGUGGGUAAAACCACUCUUGCCCAACAUUUAUUUAAUGACCCAAGGAUGGAUAAGAAUAAAUUUGAUGUCAAAGUUUGGGUCUGUGUUUCAGAUGAAUUUGAUGUUUUCAAGGUAUCAAGAGCAAUUCUUGAGGAUGUUACGGGAUCACGUGAUGAUAGCAGAGAUACAGAAAUGGUUCACAAAAGAUUGAAAGAAAAAUUUACGAAGAAAAAAUUUCUUCUUGUUUUGGAUGACGUUUGGAAUGAAAAUCAAUCUAAAUGGGAAGAGGUGCAAAAGCCUCUUGUUUUCGGAGCCCAAGGGAGUAAGAUUCUUGUCACUACACGUAAUAAGGAAGUUGCUACUAUCAUGCAGUCAGAGGAACACUACCUAGAACAACUAGAGUACAAGCAUAGCUGGAGAUUGUUUGCUAAACAUGCAUUCCGAAAUGAUGAUACUGAACCAAAUCCAGAGUACAAGGACAUUGACGUCAAGAUUGUUAAAAAAUGUAAAGGAUUACCUCUUGCCUUGAAAACCAUGGGUAGUCUAUUAUACAACAAAUCAUCUGUUUCAGAAUGGGAAACUGUGUUUCAAAGCGAAAUAUGGAAAUUUUCACAAGAGCGUUGUGAUAUUGUUCCCGCAUUAGCAUUGAGCUAUAUCCACCUUCCAUCUCAUUUGAAGGUCUGCUUUGCUUACUGUGCACUAUUCCCUAAGGAUUAUGAGUUUAGAAAAGAGGAUUUGAUUCACUUGUGGAUAACUGAAAAUUUCUUACACAGUCAUCAACAUAGUAAGACUCCCGAAGAAGCUUGUCAACAAUACUUCAAUGAUUUAAAAUCAAGGUCCCUCUUUCAACAAUCAGGUGAAAAGAAAGAAGUAUUUGUCAUGCAUGACCUUCUAAAUGAUUUGGCAAAAUAUGUUGCUGGAGGCAUAUAUUUCAGAUGCAAAAUUGAUCAAACAAAAAAAAUACAAGAAGUAACUCGUCAUUUUUCAUUUGAACUUGAUUGCAACAGAGACUUUGAAGGGCUUGGAACUUUAUAUAAAACACAAAGGUUACGUACAUUUAUGCCAACAGGUAAGAGCAUGGAUCAACUUCCCUAUCAUUGGCAUUGCAAAAUGUCGAUACCUGAAUUGUUCACCAUGUUUAACUUCUUGCGUGUCUUAUCCCUCUCUCAUUGUUCUGACCUUAAAGAGGUACCUGACUGUGUCGGCAAUCUUAAAUAUCUUUGUUCGUUAGAUCUCUCUCGUACUGCCAUAAAAAAAUUAUGUGAAAGCAUAUGUUCACUCUCGUACUUACAAAUACUAAAGUUGAACUAUUGUAGAUAUUUAGAAGAGUUACCCUCAAAUUUGAAUUCGCUUACCACUUUGUGUCGCCUUGAAUUUAUAGAGACUAAAGUGAUAAAGGUGCCAAAUUUGAAAGAGUUGAAGAAUCUUAAAGUAAUGAUGAGUUCCUUUAAAGUUGGCUGUAGUAGCGAGUUGGGUAUUCAACGGUUAGGAGAGCUCAACAACCUUCAUGAAAGCCUAUCAAUUGACGAGUUGGAGAAAAUUGAGAAACCCCGGGAUGCAUCAGAUGCAAAUUUGAAGAAUAAUACACACCUUAUGAAGCUAGAGUUGAAAUGGAAUUCAAAGAGGGAAGAGAACUCUAUUGAUUCAAAAAAAGAAGAGGAUGUAAUUGACAAGUUGCAACCUUCCAAAAACUUAAAGGAGUUAUCAAUCUUUAGCUAUGGAGGCACACAAUUUCCAGAUUGGUUACUAGAAGAUUCAUUGUGGGAGAUGGUGUCCUUAGCGUUGAAGGAAUGUAAAUCUUGCCAAAGUUUACCUCCACUUGGACUUUGGAAAUAUCUAAAGGAUUUGAAGAUUGCAGGACUUGACGGGAUAGUGAGUAUUGAUGCUGAUUUUUAUGGGAACAACUCUUCUUCUUUUAAUUCCCUUGAAAAUUUAGAGAUCUCUGAUAUGAAACAAUUGGAAAAAUGGGAAUGUAAAGCUGUGAGAGGUGCUUUCCCAAGUCUAAAACGUCUUUCAAUAAGUAAUUGUCCCAAGCUGGAAGGAGAUCUGCCAGAGCAACUUGUUCCUUUAAAUGAUCUAAAGAUUUCUCAAUGUGAUCAAGCUUUAACUGUUACUGCUCUAAAAGUGCGAUGGCCUACAAUGAAACGUCUAAAAAUAGACGGGGACAACUUGGAAGCAUCAAUGGUGAAAAUUGUUUGGCACUUCACUUCUCUUGAAGUCUUAGACAUUAAUUCACACUCGAAGGCAAACAGUGAUGAAUCUGUCUCUCCGUGGACCUUUCCUCUACAUUUCUUCCCAACAUUAAGUACGCUUAAUCUCAGAGGAUUUCUUAAUCUGCAGAUGAUCUCACAGGUUGACCGUCAUAAUCAUCUCAAGCAUCUGACAAUCGAAAAGUGCCCAAAAUUUGAAUCAUUGCCUGAAAGCAUGCAUACAAUGCUUCCAUCUCUCAUGAGGCUAAGCAUAUAUGAUUGUCAAAAACUUGAGUCGUUCCCUCACGGAGGUUUGCCACCAAAUCUAAAUUUCGUGAAACUCCAGAAUUGCUGCUCCACACUUAUUGGCUCGUUGAAAGGAGCUUUGGGAGCCAAUACCCUGAAAAGCUUGUGGAUUGGACUCGUGGAUGCAGAAUGUUUUCCUGUUGAAGGUUUGCUUCCCCUCUCUCUUACUUCUCUACACAUCUAUCGUUUUGAAAAUCUAAAAAAUUUGGACUACGAGGGUCUUCGUCAACUCUCCUCUCUAGAAAAGCUGAGUCUUCGUGAUUGCCCCAAUCUCGAACGCUUACCGGAGAAGGGUCUUCCCGAAUCAAUUUUACAAUUUUCAAUUUCGGGUAAAUGCUCUUUACUCAAACAUCGUUGUCAGGAAGGAGGGGAAGACUGGGAAAAGAUUGCACACAUCCAAAACCUCGAUGUGGGAAUGACGAGUGGCUGUCAACACUGAGUUAUCUACUAUUCGAUCAAACAUUCCUCUCUUGAAAUUCGUUUCCCAAAGUCCUACUAUAAAUUACGAUGACAUUGCUGGCUAGUUUUUGAUAUAUUGUUUGGUAAUUCCAAGAAUUUACUUCUAAAUACUCAAUUGUUCUUCAAUUUGGAAAUGCUUAAUAUCAGUUAGAACAUGUGAUUUUAGCUAUUUUGAAUUGUUUCAUAUUGUGGACGUCACAUUCUUGGUUCCUAUUAUUAAUAGAGGUUAUCCGAGGAAUCUAGGAAAAUAUUAAUAAAAAAAUAUAUCAUAAAUGUUUCUUUAAAAAAAGUUAUAAUAUAUAAUAGUCAUUUGUGUGUCCUAAAAUACGAAUAACUAAUAUCUUUUGUUCUCUUUCUGUGUAUUUGGUAACUCGGAUUAAUUUUCAAUUCUAUAAUUAAACUCCGUUGCCCACCUGUUUAACUAAGACAUCAUAAUUUGAACUUUGAUUGAAAGACAUUUUUAACAGAGUUUUCAUUAUAUCUUUUCAAUCUUUUCUAGCAUGCUUUAAGAGAAUUCACAUGCAAGAGGUAGAUAUAACCCUGAUUUAUUCAAUUGUAAUAUUGAUUACAUUUAUGGUGGCGAGCAGAAAUCUGUUUGGAGGAAUGCAAUAUUGGUUUCUUUUUUGAAUUUAGGAGUGAGAUGUUCGAGAAAUAAUUUAAGUUGAAUAACCGAGGAUAUUGAAAAUUAUAUAAAAUGUUAACUUUGUUUGAGAAAGUAGUUACACUAAUGCGAUCAGUAUGAGCUAUGCAUAAUACAAACAUUGAACUUUCAAUGAAUACAUAAUGUUUGGGAAUAUAGGUUAUUACUAUAUUCCCAGGUUUGAAUUUUAGUCCAAGCUCUAAGGAGUAUACUCAUGGAGUUGUCAUACAUUUCGAUCACGUAAUCUAAGUUCCUUUCAUUGUAACACUGGUACUGGUGGAUGAUGGUAUUUCUUUUGCAGUUGAGGAAUUUGAGAUAUUUAUAAACAACAAAGAGUAUAAAAAUGUAAGAAACCUUUUAUUGUUUCUUGCACAAUUGAAUUUUGGCUGUUAUUUUUCUUACAAAUUUUGGUCUAAAGUAGUGUGUAUUGUAUUUUAUUGACAAUUAUAAUUUCAUCUCCUUGUCACGUUUUUAAUCACGUUUUUAAUGGAAAACAUUUCUGAAUGUGUCAUUUUUCUGUAAACAAUAUAAUUCUAAAUUUUGUUUGGUUUUGUGUUGUCGUUUUCUCUCUGUAAAUGAUAAAUUUUUUAUUUCUAAUUUAGUACUCUUUUUAAGGUGAAGACGUAAAAUGAUAGAUAAUUAGUGUAAUAUUUCUUUUACCCUUUGCUUAUUAUGUAUUUCUCUUAAUUUAAAAAUAAAACAUUAUCAUUUUUUAUCGAUUUACAACUACAUGACAUUAACUAUAUGGCAUUAUGCUUUUCAUUAUGUCCUUUUUUUCAUUAUCAAUUUAUAACUAUAUGGCAUUAACUUUUCAUUAUUGUUGACAAGGUUUGGUUUAAUAAUAUUGUGUAAUCCGUGUAUUCAAUCUCAUCUAGCGAGAUUAUGUUGUUGGCAAAGAUUAAGCCACUAUUCGUGUAUCUCUACCGAUUGUUACCUUAUCACUAAUCAUUUUGUUACAUCGAUCAUUAGUAAUCACGUCAUAUCUAAUAAGCUCUAAAAUGAAAAGUUGUGGUAUCCUUUUGUUAGGAGACAUGCUCAAAAAUUAGCAAAAUUUACAAUUUCUGACUAUCUAGACUAAUUCAUUUAUUAAAGGUUGUUAUAAAAAAAAUUAAUCACUUUUCAAGAGUCACUAAGAGAUUAAUUUAUAUAUAUAUAUAUAUAUAUAUAUAUAUAUUACUUUUAUUUUUCUGAGAGUAGGGUUUUUCUUGGGGAGAUCAAAAGUUGAAAAUUCAAAAAAAAAAAUCCCAUGAUGAAGCAUAAACUUUAACAUCAUGAGGAGAAGUUUUUGUAAGUGAUCCUAAUUUUUAUUUUUGUUACUUAUAAUAAUAAUAAUAAUCUUUGUAAAACUUAACAUAAAACACUGUUUCUUAAAAAAGUGGCACGCAUUUAGAAGCGAUUUGGUUCUGAUAUUUAUUUAGUAUGAUCAAACACAUACUUGUUUUUUUGUCAAGUAUAUUUUUUUACUUUAUCAAUACUCUACAUUUUAUGUAGGUCAUUAUUCUAUUAACUAUUGAUCCUUCUAGAAUUUGAUUUUGUUUCAAAACUUUGGAAAAUAUGCACUAUGUCUCAUUUUAGAACAGAAUAUGUAUAGACUUUGUAAAGUACCAUGAACAUGUAUGGAAAGAUUACAGUACAUUAUGCAGUUUUGACAGAGAGAACUCAAAGAGGAAAUUAUCAUAUAUCUUUAUUUUCAUAAUUUAUUUGUAGUAAAAAUUUAAUUCACUAACUUUAUAUUAUUUUUCUUUUUUGCAGUAUUUAUCUAGUUGCGGAUGUCAACAAUAUCGUGACAAUCAAAUCAUUGAAGUUAGGGAAGAUUGGGGUUUGCAUGUAAUUAUUAUAUGCUUAUAGGUUAUGUUAUGGUGAUCUACAUGUUUAUGGUUGUAUAUAUUAUCUUAUAAAACAAUGUUAUGUCAUGACACGAACAGGAUGACUUAAGGAUUAUAUUUGAAAUAUUAUUGUAUCAAUAGUUUUUAUUCAAAUUAAUGAAUAUUUUUUUUUGAAACCUUUGUUUUUGUCAUAUUUUUCUUAAUAUUUAAUAUUUUUUUUGUAUAUAAUAGAACCAAUAGAUAGUAUUGGUUUGUACAUAAUAAAACCAAUAUUUUAUAUUUUCUUUUGAUUCUUUUUUUAUUUUUUGAAAUGCUUUAUUGAAUUUUUUUUUUAAAUUUAGACCAAUAGAUAACACUUAUUUAAACAAGCAAUAUCUAUUGUCAGACAACAAUAGAUAGCACUUUUUUUAAACAGACGCUAUAUAUUGUCAUACAAUAAUAGAUAGUGCUUUUUUUAAAAGCGUUAUCUAUUAAUAGAUAGUGCUGUCAUAGAUAGCGCUUAAAAAGCGCUAUUUAUGAUAAAAAAAUAUUAUUUUUUGAAAUGCUUUAUUGAAUUUUUUUUUUUUAAAUUUAGACCAAUAGAUAACACUUAUUUAAACAAGCAUUAUCUAUUGUCAGACAACAAUAGAUAGCGCUUUUUUUAAACAAACGCUAUAUAUUGUCAGACAAUAAUAGAUAGCGCUUUUUUUAAAAGCGCUAUCUAUUAAUAGAUAGCGCUGUCAUAGAUAGCGCUAUCUAUGAUAAAAAAAAAAAAAACGCUAUCUAUGCACUUCUUUUUAGUAUUGGAAUUUGAUGUCAAAGUCUGGGUUUGUGUUUUCGUUGAAUUUGAUAUUUUCAAGGUAUCAAGAAAAAUUCUUGAGGAUGUUACUGGAUCACCUGAUCAAAGUACAAAUACGGAUAUGGUUCACAAAGGAUUGAAAGAAAAUCUGAUGUGGAAAAAUUUCUUUGUUUUGGAUGAUGUUUGGAACGAAAACCUAUCUAAUUGGGAAGAAGUGCGAAAGCCCCUUCUUUUUAGAGGCCAAGGGAGUAGGAUUCUUGUGACUACACGUAGUAAGGAAGUUGCUUCUACCAUGCUGUCAAAAGUACACUUUCUAGAGCAAUUGCAGGAAGAUGAUAGUUGGGAGUUGGUUGCUAAACAUGCAUUUCCAAAUUCAGAGUGCAGAGAGAUUGACAAGAAGAUUGCUAAAAAAUGUAAAGGACUACCUCUUGCCUUGAAAACAAAAGGAAGUCUAUUAUACAACAAAUCAUCUAUUUCAGAAUGGGAAACUGUGUUCCAAAAUGAUAUAUGGGAACUUCCAAAAGAUCGUUGUACUAUUGUUCCCGCUUUAGCAUUGAGCUAUAUCCACCUUCCUCNCCAUUUGAAGACCUGCUUUGCUUAUUGUGCCUUGUUCCGCAAGGAUUAUGAGUUUAAGAAGGAAGAUUUGACUCAGUUGUGGAUGACUGAAAAAUUCCAACA
rnacentral:lncRNA from 1 species